CAUUAAAGCGGUACGCGAGCUGGGUUCAGAACGUCGUGAGAAAGUUCGGUCCCUAUCCGGCGCAGGCGCAGGAUAUCUGAGAGGAGCUGUCCUUAGUACGAGAGGACCGGGAUGGACGGACCGCCGGUGUACCUGUUGGCGACCAACGCCAUGGCAGGGUAGCCGAGUCCGGCAGGGAUAAACGCUGAAGGCAUCUAAGCGUGAAGCCCCCCUCAAGAUGAGAUAUCCCAGUUAAGUAAGACCCCUUGGAGACUACGAGGUAGAUAGGCUUAAGGUGUAAGUGCAGCAAUGUAUUAAGCUGAUAAGUACUAAUCGGUCGAGGGCUUAACCAUG
rnacentral:rRNA from 1 species